GCCGGGCACGGUGGUGCACGCCUGUAGUCCCAGCUACUCGGGAGGCUGAGACAGGAGGAUUGCUUGAGUCCAGGAGUUCUGGGCUGUAGUGUGCUAUGCCGAUCGGGUGUCCGCACUAAGUUCGGCAUCAAUAUGGUGACCUCCCGGGAGCGGGGGACCACCAGGUUGCCUAAGGAGGGGUGAACCGGCCCAGGUCGGAAAAACUGCUGCCAAGUGAAAUCUGAGUUCCGUUGUCCUCCCUACCCUUACACUGUUCGUGUGGGAGUUAAGAAACUUCACUGAGUCAGGUGAGUUAGGCAAGUUCCUUACCCUC
ensembl:misc_RNA Metazoa_SRP Metazoan signal recognition particle RNA